UGGGGAAUUUUGGACAAUGGGCGAAAGCCUGAUCCAGCCAUGCCGCGUGAGUGAAGAAGGCCUUCGGGUUGUAAAGCUCUUUUAGUCGGAAAGAAAGAGUUGCAAUGAAUAAUUGUGAUUUAUGACGGUACCGACAGAAAAAGCACCGGCUAACUACGUGCCAGCAGCCGCGGUAAUACGUAGGGUGCGAGCGUUAAUCGGAAUUACUGGGCGUAAAGGGUGCGCAGGCGGUCUUGCAAGUCAGAUGUGAAAGCCCCGGGCUUAACCUGGGAAUUGCGUUUGAAACUACAAGGCUAGAGUGCAGCAGAGGGGAGUGGAAUUCCAUGUGUAGCAGUGAAAUGCGUAGAGAUGUGGAAGAACACCGAUGGCGAAGGCAGCUCCCUGGAUUGACACUGACGCUCAUGCACGAAAGCGUGGGGAGCAAACA
rnacentral:rRNA from 1 species